GGGGGGGGGGGGGGGGGGGGGGGGGGGGGGGGGGGCCGGGUGCCCGCGGCGGGGCAGGGAGUUCGCUUCCCCGCUCCUUCCUCAG
rnacentral:miRNA from 12 species